rnacentral:rRNA from 1 species
UACGUAGGGGCCAAGCGUUGUUCGGAUUUACUGGGCGUAAAGGGCGCGGAGGCGGUGCGGUAAGUCACUUGUGAAAUCUCCGAGCUUAACUCGGAACGGCCAAGUGAUACUGCAGUACUAGAGUGCGGAAGGGGCAAUCGGAAUUCUUGGUGUAGCGGUUAAAUGCGUAGAUAUCAAGAGGAACACCUGAGGUGAAGACGGGUUGCUGGGCCGACGCUGACGCUGAUGCGCGAAAGCCAGGGGAGCAAACGGG